CCUCGUUAAUGAAGGUUAAAUAAUAUGUAGACCACAUUUAUUAUUACAUCUACGAAACUAAACUCAAUACUUUAUUGAAAGCAGUUUCAUGUUUGAAGAAUAAUUAUUCAAAAUGUUAAAUUCGACUAUCAAGAAUUAAAGUAUAAAGGAAGAAGCAGACAGGACUGGAUAUGGUUCCCGGCGCCGCUCUCGGCUGAACCCACUGUGGGAACGCUAUCAUGUUACUGUAGCUCAAUAUUUUAGAGAUCUUUGGGGGACAGUUCGGGAUCCGCUUGCAGACGGGACCCACUACAAGCAUGUUGCAGACGUACUGGUAAAAGAGAAAUCAAACAAGUGUAACUGAUCUAUUAUUGCGCAUUUCUGAUGAACAACUAUUAUUUUAUAUCAAGGGUUCAUCAGCCGUUUUUUAACUAAACUUAGAGUUAAUUGUCGUACAUUACCUCAACCGUUAAUAAAUUGUCGUACAUGAAUUCCAUAACAAGUUUAAUACCCUACAUAAAUUCAACAAGAGUACAUUGUCGUACAUGAAUUCAAACCAAAGUACAUUGUCGUACAUAAAUUCAACUGCGAGCGUAUUGUAGUAAAUGAAUUCAACCAAGAAUACAUUGUCGUACGAGAAUUCAACCACGAGUAAAUUUUCGUUCACGAAUUCAAUAGAGAGUACAUAGCCGUACAUGAAUUAAGUGAAGAGUACAUUGUCGUCCAAGGAUUCAGCUACGAGUACAUUGUCAUCCAUGGAUUCAACUACGAGUACAUUGUCGUUCAUGGAUUCAGCUACGAGUACAUUGCCCUCAAUGAUUUAAAAGCCAAGCAAUUGAACCACAAAAAGAUGCUUGUUGACAAAUAAUCAUCAUCGAUAAUGUAUACAUUCUGAUAUAUGUUAUUUCUAACGUUCUGCAAUUGAAAUGCUGCAUUUUACGCUGUAUAUUGUGGAGGUCAAGGAUGAUUCUUUCGUCUAUGGUUUCAUUUUAGUUUAUACAGUUGAUAUACAAUAAACAGUCUUUAACGAUCUGCGUGAAGGAAGCAACCAUGCAAUUUAUCGUGUUUAUAAUAAUUCAUAUGUGUUUUUGUUUUUCCAUCGUGACCCAAUUUUUAAUGGCUUAUUUUAACUCAAUAUACAGCAAUUUUUGCUUGCGUGUUCUUUAAACCAAUGCUCUAUCGAAUAUCUCACUGGACGCUUUAUAUAGUUGUUGAAAGUCAUGUAUUUACUAGCCUUACGAAUUUAAAAAAAUAAAAUACAAACCUUGUCAAAAUGA